GGGGAGUGAAAUAGAACCUGAAACCGUGUACGUACAAGCAGUAGGAGCAGGCUUUGUCCUGUGACUGCGUACCUUUUGUAUAAUGGGUCAGCGACUUAUAUUCAGUGGCAAGGUUAACCAUCUAGGGGAGCCGUAGGGAAACCGAGUCUUAACUGGGCGUUCAGUCUCUGGAUAUAGACCCGAAACCAGGUGAUCUAGCCAUGGGCAGGUUGAAGGUUGAGUAACAUCAACUGGAGGACCGAACCGACUAAUGUUGAAAAAUUAGCGGAUGACUUGUGGCUAGGGGUGAAAGGCCAAUCAAACCUGGAGAUAGCUGGUUCUCCCCGAAAGCUAUUUAGGUAGCGCCUCGGACGAAUACUACUGGGGGUAGAGCACUGUUAAGGCUAGGGGGUCAUCCCGACUUACCAACCCUUUGCAAACUCCGAAUACCAGUAAGUACUAUCCGGGAGACACACGGCGGGUGCUAACGUCCGUCGUGGAGAGGGAAACAACCCAGACCGCCAGCUAAGGUCCCAAAUUACUACUAAGUGGGAAACGAUGUGGGAAGGCUCAGACAGCCAGGAUGUUGGCUUAGAAGCAGCCAUCAUUUAAAGAAAGCGUAAUAGCUCACUGGUCGAGUCGGCCUGCGCGGAAGAUGUAACGGGGCUAAGUAGUAAACCGAAGCUGCGGCAAUGUGCUUUUGCACAUUGGGUAGGGGAGCGUUCUGUAAGCGGUUGAAGGUGUGUGGUAACGCAUGCUGGACGUAUCAGAAGUGCGAAUGCUGACAUGAGUAACGAUAAAGGGGGUGAAAAACCUCCUCGCCGGAAGACCAAGGGUUCCUGUCCAACGUUAAUCGGGGCAGGGUAAGUCGACCCCUAAGGCGAGGCCGAAAGGCGUAGUCGAUGGGAAACGGGUUAAUAUUCCCGUACUUCUUACAAUUGCGAUGGGGGGACGGAGAAGGCUAGGUGGGCCUGGCGACGGUUGUCCAGGUUCAAGUGCGUAGGCUUGAGAGUUAGGUAAAUCCGGCUCUUUUUAAGGCUGAGACACGACGUCGAGCCACUACGGUGUGAAGUCAUUGAUGCCAUGCUUCCAGGAAAAGCCUCUAAGCUUCAGAUUGUAAGGAAUCGUACCCCAAACCGACACAGGUGGUCGGGUAGAGAAUACCAAGGCGCUUGAGAGAACUCGGGUGAAGGAACUAGGCAAAAUGGUACCGUAACUUCGGGAGAAGGUACGCUCUCGACGGUGAAGUCCCUCGCGGAUGGAGCUAUUGAGAGUCGCAGAUACCAGGUGGCUGCAACUGUUUAUUAAAAACACAGCACUGUGCAAAAUCGUAAGAUGACGUAUACGGUGUGACGCCUGCCCGGUGCCGGAAGGUUAAUUGAUGGGGUUAGACUUCGGUCGAAGCUCUUGAUCGAAGCCCCGGUAAACGGCGGCCGUAACUAUAACGGUCCUAAGGUAGCGAAAUUCCUUGUCGGGUAAGUUCCGACCUGCACGAAUGGCGUAAUGAUGGCCACGCUGUCUCCACCCGAGACUCAGUGAAAUUGAAAUCGCUGUGAAGAUGCAGUGUACCCGCGGCUAGACGGAAAGACCCCGUGAACCUUUACUACAGCUUGGCACUGAACAUUGACCCUACAUGUGUAGGAUAGGUGGGAGGCUUUGAAGCACGUACGCCAGUAUGUGUGGAGCCGUCCUUGAAAUACCACCCUUGUAGUGUUGAUGUUCUAACGUCGACCCCUUAUCGGGGUUGCGGACAGUGCCUGGUGGGUAGUUUGACUGGGGCGGUCUCCUCCCAAAGAGUAACGGAGGAGCACGAAGGUGGGCUAAUCACGGUUGGACAUCGUGAGGUUAGUGCAAUGGCAUAAGCCCGCUUGACUGCGAGAAUGACAAUUCGAGCAGGUGCGAAAGCAGGUCAUAGUGAUCCGGUGGUUCUGAAUGGAAGGGCCAUCGCUCAACGGAUAAAAGGUACUCCGGGGAUAACAGGCUGAUACCGCCCAAGAGUUCAUAUCGACGGCGGUGUUUGGCACCUCGAUGUCGGCUCAUCACAUCCUGGGGCUGAAGUCGGUCCCAAGGGUAUGGCUGUUCGCCAUUUAAAGUGGUACGCGAGCUGGGUUUAGAACGUCGUGAGACAGUUCGGUCCCUAUCUGCCGUGGGCGUUGGAAGAUUGAAGGGGGCUGCUCCUAGUACGAGAGGACCGGAGUGGACGAACCUCUGGUGUUCGGGUUGUGUCGCCAGACGCAUUGCCCGGUAGCUAAGUUCGGAAUCGAUAACCGCUGAAAGCAUCUAAGCGGGAAGCGAGCCCUGAGAUGAGUCUUCCCUGAUACUUUAAGUAUCCUAAAGGGUUGUCGGAGACUACGACGUUGAUAGGCAGGUGUGUAAGUGCUGUGAGGCAUUGAGCUAACUGAUACUAAUUGCCCGUGAGGCUUAACCAUACAACACCUAAGGGGUUU
rnacentral:rRNA from 1 species